GUAAGUAUAAAUAAUUCUACUUUGAAACUGCGAAUGGCUCAUUAUAUCAGUUAUAGUUUAUUAGAAAUAGUGUACUACUUGGAUAACCGUAGUAAUUCUAGGGCUAAUACAUGAGUAAAUCCUCGACUUUUGAAGAGGUGUGUUUAUUAGUAUGAAAACCAUAUGCUUUUGCAUGAUAGUGAGUAAUAAUAACCUUUCAUAUCGCCUGUUUUAAAUAGCGAUAGUUCUUUCAAGUUUCUGCCCUAUCAGCUUUCGAUGGUAGUGUAUUGGACUACCAUGGCAGUAACGGGUAACGAAGAAUUUGGGUUCGAUUUCGGAGAGGGAGCCUGAGAGAUGGCUACCACAUCCAAGGAAGGCAGCAGGCGCGUAAAUUACCCAAUCUUGACAUAGGGAGGUAGUGACAAUAAAUCACAAUGCGGGACUAUUUAGUUUUGCAAUUGGAUUGAGAACAAUGUACAAGAGUUAUCGAUAAACAAUUGGAGGGCAAGUCUGGUGCCAGC
rnacentral:rRNA from 1 species